AUUCAAGGUAUCUUUUUGGGUGGAGAGGAAGCCAGGUUGUCCUCUGAAGGCUGAUGUUGUUGCUGCUGUUGUGGCGACAGCUGAAGCUUCAAGUGGUGACUCCUAUUAUGUUUAUUGUUUCUGAUCUUGCCGAUGUUGUGAAUGCAUUGCUGUUGGCGCCUGUGGUUGUGCUUGCCAGGCAUCAUAACCAGGUCAUUCAUUUGAGUUAUGAAAUUUUAUAUCUAUCUGAGUUGAUUUUGUUUUCCCCUUUUUAUUUUUAUUUGUUUGUUAUUCCAACAAACGGAUCUAAAGAAACCAUUUAAGUGCCUCCAUAUAGCUGAGAAAAUAAUUUCUCUCUCUCUCUCUGAGUAAAAUGUGCUACUAUCAUGUCUCUCCUCUGCAAAUUUUUUUUCAAGAAUCAAUUAUUAAAAAAUGCAAUGUGAUUUCCACAUCAAUAGACCAGAGAAUCCUGAACCAUCUGAAACAGAGUUGAAGAGAGCUGAUUUGUUUUUCAAUUAUGCAUAUGCGUUAGUUGCUAGCCGUGCAAAACUUGAUAACUUUACAAUUGAAGGUUAGUUAUUUGCAUAUGAUAUUUGUUAAUUUUGGUAAGAUAGAUGUUUCAGUUGUGAUGUUUGUAUUCGUGAGCAAAGCACCAUUUUAUUCAUAUGUUGAUUUUUUUUAUGUAUUAAUUAAUGAUUAUAUUCACAUGUACGAUAUAUAGUAAUAUUACUUAAGAAUGAUAAGAGUUUCUUUCUUUUCUUUCCCUUUAUUUUUACAUUUUAUGACUGAUUUAUUGGGCACUGUGUUUGUAUAGUGCAAGUAGGCACAGGCAAUGCUGGAUGCGGCUGAAGCUGCCACUACAACUGUGAGAUUUCUGGACAUACAUCAUAAAUUCUAAGACACUUUACAUCUCUAUGAUUCAAGCCUAAAUUUUUUCAGGAGGCUACCAUUAGAUUGACACAAGUGAAUAGAGUAGCGGAACAUUUAUCACGUCAUAUUAUGAAGCUUCAUGAAGUAAUGAGUAAAUUCAAGGAUUAGUUCUCACCAACUAUUUUGUGUAAGUUUUAGUAAAUAAUGUUAUACAUUUAUUAGCAUCCACCUCUCCUUUACUAUCAAAAUUCAUGGUUGCCAAUUUUUGCGUAUUGCUCUUUGCUCAUUUGCUAAUCCAAUACUAUAGUUCAUGGUUCUAACAAUGAUAUUUUAUACUGAAAUAGUCAACCCAUUUGUUCCAAGUUUAUAUACAAAUUUCAGAAGCUCUAUAUAUGGUACCUUCUACCUGCGUUUUAUGGAUCAUUUGGCUCAUUUGAUUUAGUUCACCAAAGGUUCUGGUAUUUACUUUUGGCCAGUAAUAAGAUUUGAGGAUUGCUAAUUUCAUCGGCAUGGUAAUAUAAACUAAAUCAUGUUUUGAACAAAAGUUGACGACAUUACUUACCUAAUGAAGAUAAUCUAUUGAUGGUUUUGAUUUGUGCAAUUUUCUCUCUUUUUUCUUGUGUGAAAUGUUGAAAUGAGUUUUUUUAUUUUGGGGUUUAUUUGGGUUAAUUGCACAAAUAAUUCGUGGAAGUUUUUUUCAUAUUUUGAGUUAAUACCCCGUUAUAGAAACCUCUUGAAAAAAAAGAGAGUUUUUAUUUGAUUUAAUCUUAUUUUUUAAGGUGAAUUUUUUGAUAUGGUUAAUUUCUUAGUAAUAUAAAUAAAGAAUUUAUUUAGAUUUUGGCCAUGUUGGAUUGUGGAUCUCAGUUUUCCCAAAACAAAAAUUACAUUCAUGUAGUAUUUUGAUGCAAAAUUGAUAUUGUUAACUAAAGCUUUACAUACAAUGAUUUGGACUUGAUUAUUGUAGUUGUCAUCUCAUUUUUGGUGAGAGCUUUACCUUUAAUUAAAUGUAGAUUGUCUUCAAAUUCAUGGCUGAUUACUAAAUUGUAUUAAACUUGCUAGGAGGCAUUUUUAGGUUAAAUUUUAUUAUUAGCAUGCAAUAAAAGCAAAUUGAAGUCUUUAAUUGAAGUCCUUAUGAAACUAAAAAAAUAUGUUUUACUUCUUUAAAUUUCUAAUUUUAUUAUAAUUUUUAGAUUGGAAUACAUGGGGGAUUGUUAAUCCCAACACCUUAAAAUUUUGCAAGGAUAGUAGUGGUUUUAUUAAUCUUGGGUUGAAUUUUAUAUUUUUCUUUAAAAUUUAGAAGUUCUCUUCAUGUUAUUGUUGGUGUGUUUACUAUUUGUCUAUUUAAAUUUUUUUUUUUUUGUAAUUUAACUGAGCCAUAUAUCUCACACUAUAUUUUUCAGAUACAUUUUGUUCAUAACAAUGUGUUUAAAUUAAAAUUGUGAACUAUCUAUUUCUUUAGAUAACGGGUGUACUUACAUUCAAAAUUCAAAACAUUCUUAGUUUAUAUUAGACUAUUAAUUUUUUAAAAGAAAGAACAAAUAAUAUUUAUGCUACUAGGCACUAGCUGUUAAUGAGCAAUAGUAAAUAUGUGAAAUGUGUAAUGGAAUGGAAUGAUCGUUGAUAGAUGGUAGUUUCUUUGGUGGGAGUUACAAUAAAAGAAAAAACAAAUAAUACUUAUGCUAUUUGGUACUAGCUUUUGGUGAGCAAUAAUAAGUAUAUGAAAUGGGUAAUGGAAAAGAAUGGAUACUGCUAGAUGAUAGUUUCUUUGGUUGGAGUCAGAUUAGCUGCUAAUUUAUAAUACUUAUCAUUAACUAUUGUUGUUAACUAACAUAAGUAAGGCAACAUGCUUCUUUAUGCUUAUGACGGAUGAGAGUAAUGUUAAUAUUCACCAAUAUUGAAUCGUCCUAGGUAGAUAUUAAAAAAUAAUUAAAAUAGAGUUUGCAAUUAGUUAUUUUAUUUCUUUCUACAGAAUGUAUGAUUAUUGAUAUACUAUUAU